GAUGAAGAACGCAGCGAAAUGCGAUAAGUAGUGUGAAUUGCAGAAUUCAGUGAAUCAUCGAGUCUUUGAACGCACAUUGCGCCCCCUGGUAUUCCGGGGGGCAUGCCUGUCCGAGCGUCAUUGCUGCCCUCAAGCACGGCUUGUGUGUUGGGCCUCCGUCCUCCUCCCGGGGGACGGGCCCGAAAGGCAGCGGCGGCACCGCGCCCGGUCCUCGAGCGUAUGGGGCUUCGUCACCCGCUCUUGUAGGCCCGGCCGGCGCUUGCCGACACAUCAAUCUUUUUUCCAGGUUGACCUCGGAUCAGGUAGGGAUACCCGCUGAACUUAAGCAUAUCAAUAAGCGGAGGA
rnacentral:misc_RNA from 1 species